UAGUCCACGCCGUAAACGAUACUUACUCGAUGUAUGUAUUUUUAUAUGUGCAUCCAAGGGAAACCGUUAAGUAAGCCACCUGGGGAGUACGUUCGCAAGAAUGAAACUCAAAGGAAUUGACGGGGGCCCGCACAAGCGGUGGAGCAUGUGGUUUAAUUCGAUGAUACGCGAGGAACCUUACCAGGGCUUAAAUGUAGAGUGACAGGUCUAGAGAUAGAUUUUUCUUCGGACACUUUACAAGGUGCUGCAUGGUUGUCGUCAGCUCGUGCCGUGAGGUGUCAGGUUAAGUCCUAUAACGAGCGCAACCCCUGUUGUUAGUUACCAGCACGUAGUGGUGGGGACUCUAACAAGACUGCCGGUGCAAACCGUGAGGAAGGUGGGGAUGACGUCAAAUCAUCACGGCCCUUACGUCCUGGGCUACACACGUGCUACAAUGGUAGGUACAGAGAGCAGCCACUACGCAAGUAGGAGCGAAUCUAUAAAACCUAUCUCAGUUCGGAUCGGAGUCUGCAACUCGA
rnacentral:rRNA from 1 species